GACGAACGCUGGCGGCGUGCUUAACACAUGCAAGUCGAACGGGCCUUGUCCCCUUUUUUUUUGGGGGUGGGGUUAGUGGCGAACGGGUGAGUAACACGUGAGUAACCUGCCCCUCACUUCUGGAUAACCGCUUGAAAGGGUGGCUAAUACGGGGUGUUCUGGCCUGCUCGCAUGGGUGGGUUUGGACAGAUUCGACCGGUUUUGGUUGUUUUGGUGGGGGAUGGGCUCGCGGCCUAUCAGCUUGUUGGUGGGGUGAUGGCCUGCCAAGGCUUUGACGGGUAGCCGGCCUGAGGGGGUGGGCGGUCACACUGGGGCUGAGACGCGGCCCAGGCUCCUACGGGAGGCAGCAGUGGGGAAUAUUGCACACUGGGCGCAAGCCUGAUGCAGCGACGCCGCGUGAGGGAUGGAGGCCUUCGGGUUGUGAACCUCUUUCGCCAGUGAAGAAGGUCCUGCUCUUUGUGGUGGGGUUGACGGUAGCUGGGUUAAUGAAGCGCCGGCUAACUACGUUC
rnacentral:rRNA from 1 species